GACGAACGCUGGCGGCGUGCUUAACACAUGCAAGUCGAGCGGUAAGGCCCUUUCGGGGGUACACGAGCGGCGAACGGGUGAGUAACAGGUGGGUGACCUGCCCUCAGCUCUGGGAUAAGCCUGGGAAACUGGGUCUAAUACCGGAUAUGACUCCAUGACGCAUGUUGUGGGGUGGAAAGCCUUGUGCGGCUGAGGAUGGGCCCGCGGCCUAUCAGCUUGUUGGUGGGGUGANGGCCUACCAAGGCGACGACGGGUAGCCGGCCUGAGAGGGCGACCGGCCACACUGGGACUGAGACACGGCCCAGACUCCUACGGGAGGCAGCAGUGGGGAAUCUUGCGCAAUGGGCGAAAGCCUGACGCAGCGACGCCGCGUGAGGGAUGACGGCCUGGU
rnacentral:rRNA from 1 species